rnacentral:rRNA from 1 species
GAUGAACGCUGGCGGCGUGCUUAACACAUGCAAGUCGAACGAAGCAUUUAGAACAGAUUACUUCGGUUUGAAGUUCUUUAUGACUGAGUGGCGGACGGGUGAGUAACGCGUGGGUAACCUGCCUUGUACUGGGGGAUAGCAGCUGGAAACGGCUGGUAAUACCGCAUAAGCGCCCAACGUUGCAUGACGUGGUGUGAAAAACUCCGGUGGUAUAAGAUGGACCCGCGUCUGAUUAGCUAGUUGGUGAGAUAACAGCCCACCAAGGCGACGAUCAGUAGCCGACCUGAGAGGGUGAUCGGCCACAUUGGGACUGAGACACGGCCCAGACUCCUACGGGAGGCAGCAGUGGGGAAUAUUGCACAAUGGAGGAAACUCUGAUGCAGCGACGCCGCGUGAGUGAAGAAGUGAUUCGUUAUGUAAAGCUCUAUCAGCAGGGAAGAUAGUGACGGUACCUGACUAAGAAGCCCCGGCUAACUACGUGCCAGCCGCCGCAGUAA